ensembl:lncRNA LINC01500 long intergenic non-protein coding RNA 1500
AGUAGCGCUGCCUGCAAACCAGCACCAAGGCUGCAAACGAAGCCAGAAAGAUGGUGGCCAGCACACCUAUGGCAACUAUCACCACGGUCUCCAUGCUUCCGGGGAGCUCCUGACUCAGUCCCGUUCACAUCGUCCUCAUGGGCUAAGGCUGCUGGAAGUGGCAAACUGGGGGAAGAGGAUGGCAGGAGCUAGGUUCCUCCACGACACCUCCAGAGACCUGAGGGCCUCAAGCUGCAGCUCCGGGGCACAUCCCGCUGCGCUCCCACGACGGCCCCGCGGAUGGCAAAGUCAGCGGCAUCGCCUAUGCAGGCAAUCAAAGGAUGUUGAUGGAUAAGUGUUUCAGGCAGAAUAAUGGCCCUCAAAGAUGUUGACACCAGAAUCUUCAGAACCUUUGCAUAUGUUACCUAACAUGACAAAAGGGACUUUGCUGAUGUGAUUAAGGUUAAGAACUUUGAGAAGGGAAGAUUAUCCUGGAUUAUACAGGUCGACGUUUAUUUCUUUCUGAACUUUCCUGGAGGAUCAUCGGCCAUACUCCAGCAGAAGGGUGGAUUUGAAAAAAUAACGUUUCCACGGCAACAGUGGCAGCAAUUCAGAGUUUCCCUGCACAAGCUCUCUUCUCUUGUCUGCUGCCAUGUAAGACGUGACUUUCACCUUCCACCAUCAUUGUGAGGCCUCCCCAGCCACAUAGAACUAAGGAAGACGUUGGAGAAUUCACAUGCUAUUUUAGCUGGCUCUGUGAUUGCAAUCACACAAAUCAUUACAUUCCAGCGAGAUCCCAUCAACAGAAGGUUUUUCCAUUUCAGUCUGUCAAGUUUUUCAGGCAUGAAUACUGUAAGCAAGAAGAGAAAAGUUACAAUAAAUUGACAUUUAUAGUUGAAGUUGACCUCUAA